GGCGCGCUGAUUCUGACCCACGUGGCAUGACGUCCUGCUUGAUGUGUUCAGCAGCGAAUAGCAGUCUGUGAAGCCGUUUUAUAGAGUUACUAUUCAACAACAGAAGAGACAUGUCUCAGUUACAAACAAGGUUCUUUACGGAUAACAAAAAAUAUUCAGUCGAUGACGUCCCAUUCUCCAUCCCUGCUGCCUCAGAGGUGCAGGAACUCAGCAACGUCAUCAACAAGCUGCUGGAAGCAAAGAAUGACCUUGAUGACUACCUCCACAGUCACUACACUUGAUGCUUGUCCUCCAGACGUCUUCACUAAAUGGAAAGCUCCACCCCUACCACAUCUCAGCUGGACCUUUCUACACACUGACGCCACAUGGCCAAACUUCUGGCACUAACUGGAUAACUGUCCUAAGAACACCCUAUCAGGGAGAACCUCAUGGCACAGCAUCGGGGCCAGACUCUCCUGCCUCCAGCCACUAUCUAGCACAGCAUCAGGGCCAGACUCUCCUGCCUCCAGCCACUAUAUAGCACAGCAUUGGGCCAGACUCUCCUGCCUCCAGCCACUAUAUAGCACAGCAUCGGGGCCAGACUCUCCUGCCUCC